GACAGAGGCCUCAAGCGUUAGGCGGAAUCACUGGGCUUAAAGCGUGUGUAGGCGGAACGUUAAGUACCUUGUGAAAUCCCACCGCUCAACGGUGGAACGGCUGGGUAUACUGGCGUUCUUGGGCCACUCAGGGGCAACUGGAACAAGCGGUGGAGCGGUGAAAUGCGUAGAUAUCGCUUGGAACGCCGAAGGUGAAGACAGGUUGCUGGGGGUGAGCCGACGCUGAGACACGAAAGCCAGGGGAGCAAACGGGAUUAGAUACCCCGGUAGUCCUGGCCCUAAACGAUGUCCACUAGAUUGCGGAACCUUGACGGGUUUCGCGGUCGGAGCAAAAGUGUUAAGUGGACCGCCUGGGAAGUACGGUCGCAAGGCUAAAACUCAAAGGAAUUGACGGGGGCUCACACAAGCGGUGGAGCAUGUGGUUCAAUUCGAAGCAACGCGCAGAACCUUACCUGGGCUUGACAUGCCAGGAUUAUCUCCAUGAAAGUGGAGUAGGCCCCGCAAGGGGUACAACUGGUACAGGUGCUGCAUGGCUGUCGUCAGCUCGUGUCGUGAGAUGUCGGGUUAAGUCCCUUAACGAGCGAAACCUUUGCCCUUAGUUACUAACGGGUUAUGCCGAGGACUCUAAGGGGACUGCCGGUGUUAAACCGGAGGAAGGUGGAGAUGACGUCAAGUCCUCAUGGCCUUUAUGCCCAGGGCCACACACGUGCUACAAUGGGGUGCAUAAAGCGAUCCAAGACCGCGAGGUGGAGGAAAUCGCACAAAUCACCCCCCAGUUCAGAUCGGAGGCUGCAACCCGCCUCCGUGAAGUUGGAAUCGCUAGUAAUCGCGGAUCAGCUACGCCGCGGUGAAUGUGUUCCUGAGCCUUGUACACACCGCCCGUCAAGUCAUGGGAGCCGGGAAUACCCGAAGUCACCUGGAUUCACAGGUGCCUACGGUAGGCUCGGUGACUGGGACU
rnacentral:rRNA from 1 species